rnacentral:lncRNA from 1 species
ACUCGGCCCCCCACGGCCGGACCCACAAGGGUGGCGCGCGAACCCCGCGGGCGGAGGGGACCCCGCCUCCGGGCCGGCAGGGCGCAGGGCGAGGGGGAGCGCACCCCGACUUCCCUGGAUCACAUGGGCUGCGGGGGGCGGGUGGAUCGGGGGAGGGGAGGCGCGGGGAGCUUGCUGCGGCUCCUCACCCGGACCUGGGAGAAGACGCCCCCCACCCUCUCUAGUUCGCCCUCUCCAUUCAAGUUUGCCGGCCCCUGCCGCCGAGAUCCGGGAAUGGCACCAGCCGCCCGCCCUCCGCUGUGCCCUGUUUCCAGCCACCGCUCAGAAAUUUAGGUCAAGGACGUCGGGAGCAAACCCACACCCUGGCGCUCCUUUGGCGGCCCCCGAGACGCCCCAGGAUCGGGGGGCUUCAGGAUGGCGGAGACCCUCCUGCACAAACACCAGCCACAAGUUUUAUUUUCCUUUUGCGCUGGAAGUUCUCUCUGGCUCUGGCUCCACACCGGCACGUCUUGCGCGGUUCCCCGCCCUUCCCCAGUAGAGGUACCAAUCCGUGCCCGGGAAAGGUUAUUUUGGAACUUUGAGAAACUGACGCGAUUCCAGUGGCGAGAAAGUGCCGAAGAAAGGGUUUCCGCGUUAAUCAUACAGUGUUUUAAAAAUGUAAUAAGAUAGGUUAUAGGAGUCAAGGUCACAUGAUUGAGGUUCAAAGCAAAUGAUUAGGAGACAAAGGAAUACACUCAACACCAAAACUGAACCAAAUCCACUGUGGGCUUUGGAAAAAUGGAAUAUUGGGAAAAUCUCAACACCAGCCAUAGCCUUGAGUGACCAGACCCUCAGUCUCCCUGUUCCCUAAAUUGCAGUAAUUCCUCCUUGACAGGAUUGAUGUGGUGAAGCUCACUCAAUGUAGCCCCUGCAUCAGGAGAAUUCAAGCAGCACAAUAUCAGUCCUCAACCCUCUGAAAGUCUCAACAGCCCAAGACAAUGUUGGACACUUCCUUCUUCAAACUCAAUCUUCCAGGAUGGGUUUAAACACAUGGUGAUGCCACUCAAAUUGAAAUCUCCAGCCCCACCCUUCCUGAAGAGCUCCAGGCUCUGGUCAAUUUCCUAUUCAACAUCUCCACUUAGCCUUUCUAAAGGAAGCCCAAGUUCAAAUCCAUCUUUCUUGCUGCUGCAUCCCAGAUCUCCCACCUGAGGCCCUGCAACAGCUUACAAAACAGUCUUCCCACAUACACCCUUACUCCACUUACAUGCCUGGAAAUCUUUCCCAGACCUCUCUGACAGGGUCGAAUGCCCUUUGAUAUGCAGUUACCUUACCAGAACGUCCUCUGUGUACCUUACCCUGUAUGAUCAUUUGCUUUAUUGCCCAUCUCCUCUAAGCCAGAAGCUCCCGUGCCUUUCUGCUCUCCAUGUACUAGCACAGUGCCUGCUGGCGCACGGUUGACGCUCAAUAAAUAAUGAUUGACUGAAUGAGUGAGUGGAUGAAUGAAUGAAUGAUGGCCAACAUUUAAUUUCAUUCUAGGAUUCUUUUUGUAUUCAUGUUCAUAAGUCAAAUUGGCUGCAGUUUUUCCUUUUCUUACUGCCUUUGUCUGGUUAUACUGGUCUCAUAAAAUGAACCGGUAAAUGUUCCUUCUUUUUUCAUUUUCUGGAACAGUGUGUGUAAGAUUGGAAUUAUGUGUUCCUUGAAUGUUUGGUAGUUUUGCAGGUAAAUUGUCUGGGUCUGGGAUAGACAUUUCGUGGGUUGAUUUUUAACUACUGAUUCCAUUUCUUUAAUGCUCGUAGAUCUCUUCAGGUUUUCUGUUUUCUUCUUGAAUCUAUUUUUAUACACUAUGUUUUUCAAGGAAAUUAUCCAUACCAUCUAGGUUUUCAAAUGUGUUGACAAAAUGCUGUUCAUAGUUAUCUCUUAAUGUAUUUUAAUCUCUGCUCUAUCUAUCCAUAAUGUUUUUUUUUCAUUCUAAAUAUCAUUUUAUAUGUAUUUUUUCUUAUCUGGAUCAGCUGUGCCAGAGAUCUUUUUUUUUUACUAAUGUUUUCUUUCUACUUUCUAUUAGUGUUUCCAAAGAACCAGACUUUAGUUUCAAUAUUGUUUCUUUUUCUGUUCCAGUAAGUUUUGUUCUUAUAUAUUAUUAUAUAUUAUAUUGUUAUAUAUGGCACAAUAGAAAAUAUAUACUAUUAUAUAGUUUGUGAGAAUAUAAUAUGUAAUGUAAUAUUAAUAUAUAUCAUAUAGUAUUCCCUUCUGCUUCUGCUCUUUUUGGAUUUAUUCUGUUGCUCUUUUUUUUUUUUUUUGAAUUGUUGCCUUAGGUAAUUAAUUUUUAGCCAUCUGUUUUCUGAUUUUAACAUUUAAGACUACAGAUUUCACUUUAAGUACCACUCAAGCUAUAUUCCACAAGAUAUAUAGACUUUUUAUCACCAAUGAGGUAAAAAAAGUUUAGAUUUUAGGCUGGACACAAUGGCUUAUGCCUGUAAUCCCAGCACUUUGGGAGGCCAAGGUGGGAGGAUCACUUGAGCCCAGGAGUUUGAGACCAGCCUGGGCAACAUAGUGAGGCCCCAUCUCUGCAAAAGAAAACUUUUCUAGAAACUAGCCAGGUGUGCUAACAUGCACCUAUAGGCCCAGCUACUCAGGAGACUGAGGUGGGAGGAUCACUUGAGCCUGGGAAGUUGAGACUGUAGCGAGCCAUGAUCAUGUCACUACUCCAGCCUGGGUGACAGAGCGAGAUCCUGUUUAAAAAAAAAAAAAAAUUAGAUUUCAGAUACGAUUUCUUGUUUGACUAGUGAAUUAAUACAGGUGUAUUUGAGGGGUAUUUGAGGUUAUUCUUUAGUUACUAACGUCUAACUUAACUGAAUUAAGGUCAAAGAAUGUGAUCUAUAUGAAGCAGAUUCUUUGUUAUUUAUUGAAACUUGCUUUGGUGCAGUCAAUUUUUAUAAAUAUUUCAUGUAGAUUUGAAAAGAAUGUAUAUGCCUUAAUUUUUAAGUACAGCAUUUUAUAUGGGUCUAUUAGAUCAGACUUAUUAAUUAUAUUGUCUAGAUUUCCUGUAGCCUUACUAAUAUUUUGUCAGCUUGACCUGUUGGUUUUUAUAGAAGUACAUUAAAAUUUCUAUAUGACUAGAUUUGCCAGUUUCUCCUGUAAUUCUCUCAAAUUUUGCUGUAUUUUAAAAGUAUGUUGUCAGGUGCAUCAAAAAGAACUGUUAAAAUUUCCCACUGUAACUAUACAUUUUCUGCUUCUCAUACUUUUUGCUUUGUGUAUUUUAAGGCCUUGUUAUUCAGUGCAUACGAGCUUAGAUUUGCUAUUUUCCUAGGAAUUAUUCCUUUAAUAUUGGCACAGAAGAUACUUAUCCCUAAUGCCUUUUGCUUUAAAGUCUACUUUGUCUGUAAUAAAUGUAACUACUCUUUUAAUUAGCCCUUCACUUAUAGAUCUUUCUCUUUCCCUCUUUCCUUUUACUUUGAACCUUUCCAUGUCCCAAAUUUUUUGUUCAGUCUCCUGUAAAUAGCAUAUAGUUAGCUCUGGUUCAUUAUUGUGCUAACUAGUAAGUUUAGUCCAUUUACAUUUAUUGUGAUUGCUGAUAUUUUUAAAGAUCACAAAAUAUCACAAUUUAGGGGCACAAAAAUAUAUUAGUCACAAUCUCUAGUAUAACACACUAUCAUCAUUGUGUAUACUCAUGGCCCUAUUUUAUUUUAUUUGCUGAUAUCAUGAAUACCUGUAAACCUGCUAUUCAACCAGAGAACUAAAACAGAAACAAUGACUUGACUUAUGUAACAUCUGCUUAUGUGUUCCUCCCUAUUUUGUUCCUCUAAAGUAACCACCAGUCU